AGACUGACUUCAGCUGUGAGGAACUGCAAGAAAGGCUGUACUUUCUAACUGUGGACUCUCAGAGACUCACUGUGAAGUCGUGGCCUCAGCUCUGAAGUCCAACCCCUCCCACCUGACAGAGCUGAACCUGAGUCACAACAAGAAGCUGCAGGAUUCAGGAGUGAAGACACUGUGUGCUGGACUGGAGAGUCCAAACUGUAAACUGGAGACUCUGAGGACUGUUUUUCAGUGGUCCAUCAGUCAGUGAAGAUGAUGUCAGUACUUGUGAGGCUGGAGAAUGUGUGAGGGAUAAGAAGGGCACAGUUAAAACAGGCUGCAGAGAGUUUGAGCUUCUGUGUAAACAGAGGAAGAAACAGACAGGUUAGUUCAAUAAAGGUGAAGUGAGGAACUGUGAUGAUCUUCAUGAUGUCAGAAGCUGAUAUGGCUACAGACAACCCUCACGUGCUUUGGUGUGGUGUGCAUUAAACCAGAGCUAAAAGUGAUAAACAGCAGCUUAACACAGGACAAAACAUCACUACAAAGUAAGAUUCAAGGUCUGUCUCAAGUAUUUUCAUAAAUAAGCUGAAAAAGAAAAAUCUGUUGUAACGUGGUUACCAGAGUCAUUUAUCUGACUGAGACUGAUGAAACUUGAUGAAACAAUGCAGGCCUCUGCUUUGAUGACAUGUACCUACUGAGAGACCAAAUACAGUAAAAAGGUCCUGAUAUAAAUAAUAAACAGUUACAGUGAAACAUUUCUGAUUUGAUAUAUUCAAAUUAUUCCACACUUGAGUGACAUCAGAAGUAUUGUAUUAAUCUGUGUUGACAUCAUUUAUUCUUUAUUCAGAUUGUGGGACUGCAGUUUGUCAGAGAUCAGCUGUGCUUCUCUGGUCUCAGCUCUGAAGUCCAACCCCUCUCAUCUGACAGACCUGGACCUGAGUUGGAACAAGCUGCAGGAUUCAGGAGUGAAGCUACUGUGUGAUUUUCUGGAGAGUCCACACUGCAGACUGAAGAGUCUGGG